rnacentral:rRNA from 1 species
CACGUAGGGUGCGAGCGUUGUCCGGAAUUACUGGGCGUAAAGAGCUCGUAGGUGGUUUGUCACGUCGUCUGUGAAAUUCCGGGGCUUAACCUCGGGCGUGCAGGCGAUACGGGCAAUACUUGAGUGCUGUAGGGGAGACUGGAAUUCCUGGUGUAGCGGUGAAAUGCGCAGAUAUCAGGAGGAACACCAAUGGCGAAGGCAGGUCUCUGGGCCACUACUGACGCUGAGAAGCGAAAGCAUGGGGAGCGAACAGGAUUAGA